CAAUAGCGUAUAUUAAAGUUGUUGCAGUUAAAAAGCUCGUAGUUGGAUUUCGGGGUGGCCUGCCUGGUCCACCGCAAGGUGAGUACUGGUCAGCCGCCCUUCCUCUCGAAAGCCCCGACUGCUCUUCAUUGCAGUGGUCGGGUAGUUCGGGACGUUUACUUUGAAAAAAUUAGAGUGUUCAAGGCAGGCUCUCGCCUGAAUACAUUAGCAUGGAAUAAUGGAAGAGGACCUCGGUCCUAUUUUGUUGGUUUCUAGGGCCGAAGUAAUGAUUAAGAGGGACAGUUGGGGGCAUUCAUAUUUAAUUGUCAGAGGUGAAAUUCUUGGAUUUAUGAAAGACGAACUAGUGCGAAAGCAUUUGCCAAGGAUGUUUUCAUUAA
rnacentral:rRNA from 1 species